GGUCCUGGUGAUGACAGACGGCACUGUCGGCCAAUCCCCGCGUGGGAGUGAGGACACGUCCUGCAAUUCUGAGGGGCU
rnacentral:snoRNA from 1 species